GACGAACGCUGGCGGCGUGCUUAACACAUGCAAGUCGAACGAGAUGAUCUUAAAGCUUGCUUUUAGAGAAUCUAGUGGCAAACGGGUGAGUAACACGUAGGCAACCUGCCGACAGGAUGGGGACAACAUUCCGAAAGGAAUGCUAAUACCGAAUGAAGUCAGAGAAGGGCAUCCUUUUCUGAUGAAAGAUGGCCUCUAUUUAUAAGCUAUCACCUGUCGAUGGGCCUGCGUCUGAUUAGCUAGUUGGUGAGGUAACGGCUCACCAAGGCGACGAUCAGUAGCCGGUCUGAGAGGAUGAACGGCCACAUUGGGACUGAGACACGGCCCAGACUCCUACGGGAGGCAGCAGUGGGGAAUCUUCCGCAAUGGGCGCAAGCCUGACGGAGCAACGCCGCGUGAGUGAAGAAGGUCUUCGGAUCGUAAAGCUCUGUUGACGGGGACGAACGUACGGAGUGCAAAUAGUGCUCUGUAAGACGGUACC
rnacentral:rRNA from 1 species